UCUCCUCGUUGAGUCCAUACCAGCGGCCGGGUGCAUGACUCAUUGCUACCACCAGACAGACAGAGAACAAGAGUGUGCGUCCGAUCCAGAUCCUUUGCUCACUCACUCUCAAUCUCAAUCUCAAGCUGGCUGGCUGGCUGUCUUCUACACUCCCCGGCCAACCCCUGCUGCUGCUCUUCACCUCCGCCUUGCCGUCUCCCCGGCCGGCGACGCAGCUCGCCGUCUCACCACGCCCACGGCGGCUGCCGGAUCUGAACCGAACCAGCCGCAUCCGCGCAGCAGCAGGUGUUUGUUCGAUCUUAUAGGCUUCUUCAUAUUUUGGAUUUAAAUUUGGGUUGUUGUUAUUCAUCAAGACGUGGCAGCCUACUCCCCUAUUUUGUGUGUCACGAUCAAAAUAGCAGCAGGACAUCAGUAUGGAAUAAAUGAGACUUCAGGUCAAGCUACUGAUAUUAAGGUGUUCUUAUAUUUGUUUUGUGGGCUUUCAAGCCACUUGUGUUUACAUUUUGUCCAAAACUCAUGAAGACUGAAGGUGUGCCUGGAAAAUCUUCAGUUUUAGGGAUCAAAUGAUCAUCUGGCAUAAUUAUGGAAAACAAUGAAUUGUCAGUGUUUUGCUGCUGAUCAUUUUUGCGGUUUUGCCAUCCAGGAUCUUCAGAAGAAUAACUGGCAUACCAUAUCAGUGCACGUGUGGAGCCAGUUCAGAUCAUAAGCAGUAGUAGCAGUCUCAAGUGAAUGAGGAUGUUGAUUGAUGCUGGGAAUUCAUUGGCGCCCCCUACUGUUUACAAGCGGGACUUGCCUAACCAGUGAUGGAACUAUGAAUCUCCUUGGAAGCAACAGAUUGAGUUGGGAGAAAGGUGUGGUUCACUGAGGCAGUCCUCUGCCACUGCAACAGACACACAAGAAUGGCGUUGUUCGGUGGAUGCAGUUUCAACUGCUACUCGUGAUGCCCCUCCUUCGGUUCUUCCUUGGAUGCAGUCUACUUAAGAUAAUCCCAUCUUAGACGGAUUUUGGUACACCGUCAUACUGUGCAUGCUAUACGAUGCAGAUAUAACAUGGAAUGGAAGGUACCUGCCUCUGCCUGGAAGAAAUAUCUGAAGCCUGCCAGCCUUGUGAUGGCACUCAGAACUUGUCUAUUCACAUUCAUACCAUGUGUGCGAUGGAACCAGGCUCCAUCUUCUGACGAAAUCACACUUCUCAUGUUGUUAACUAAAGAAAUCGACACCCAGCGAUUGGCGCCAAAUCGGGCGGGCUCAUCGUCGACUGUCCGAUCUCUAUCCAACAGCAACUUACCGCCUUUCCCCGAGUGACGACACACACCACCCUGAAGAGUGUAUCCAACAGUCUCUGAAGACUGGAGUUGUCGCCAUUUGAAUUAUUACCUUUACUGUCUCCUUGUUCACCUGCUCUACAUUAGUGUUAAAGUUGAGAUUGCCUUUCACUAAUUGUAAUGCGUAUAAAACCCCGGAUCUAUCUGUAAACCCUAGCCGCCAUGUCCUGAAGAGCGUAAACGGUAUCCUUAAUUCGCUAUAUAUUUCUCUCGCAAUCAUGCUCUGAAUUCACGUAGCUACUUGGUGUGAUCUGAGAGUGAUUUUGGUUUUCUCAACUAGUUGGGUCUUGUCACUCCUUUGCUGCUGCUACUUGGUUACCUAACCUGCGUGUUGGUGAAAUAAAUGGGCAGCUUGUGUACGUUCUUCUCAGCAGAAGAAUGAAUGCUGCUCAUCUCAUCUGGCUUGCAGGCUUCAAAUCCAGGCCUUAAGUUGUAUUAUGGAAAUCCUAUUCUGCGCGCCUGCUUGAUGAAGCACGCGCUGUUGAUCAUGACUGAAUUGAAGGAAGUGAAGUCCCAAGAUAUCAUCACCGGAGACAGAUGCUCGUUUUCUUCACCAUGAAGUGCACAUGAUCUUGUGCUCCAGACUUGGUAGCAGCAGUGUCCGCCGAUCACUUUUGGGGAAACGGUCAAGGUGGCAGGGCUCAGACCUUGAGCCAAUGGGGGUAUGGAAUGAGUUCAGAAGUAGAACCAUCCAAUUCUAAUCCAAUUUGGCCAU